rnacentral:misc_RNA from 1 species
UUGCAAAAGAAGUAGGUAGCUUAACCGCAAGGAGGGCGCUUACCACUUUGUGAUUCAUGACUGGGGUGAAGUCGUAACAAGGUAACCGNAGGGGAACUUGCGNUUGGNUCACUUCCUUAACUAUAAACUCUCACUAUCAGUGUCCACUCAC